CAGUCGCCACGGUAAUACGUAGGGCGCAAGCGUUGUCCGGAAUUAUUGGGCGUAAAGAGCUCGUAGGCGGUCUGUCGCGUCUGGUGUGAAAUCCCGAGGCUCAACCUCGGGCUUGCAUCGGGUACGGGCAGACUAGAGUGCGGUAGGGGAGACUGGAAUUCCUGGUGUAGCGGUGGAAUGCGCAGAUAUCAGGAGGAACACCGAUGGCGAAGGCAGGUCUCUGGGCCGCAACUGACGCUGAGGAGCGAAAGCAUGGGGAGCGAACAGGAUUAGAUACCCGGGUAGUCCCUGUCUCUUAUAC
rnacentral:rRNA from 1 species